rnacentral:rRNA from 1 species
GGUCUGCAACUCGACCACACAAGCUGGAAUCGCUAGUAAUCGCGAAUCAGCAUGUCGCGGUGAAUACGUUCCCGGGUCUUGUACACACCGCCCGUCACACCAUGGGAGUCAGCAACGCCCGAAGUCAGUGACCUAACCGAGAGGAAGGAGCUGCCGAAGGCGGGGCAGGUAACUGGGGUGAAGUCGUAACAAGGUACC